rnacentral:rRNA from 1 species
AUCCUGGCUCAGAUUGAACGCUGGCGGCAUGCUUUACACAUGCAAGUCGAACGGUAACAGGUCUUCGGAUGCUGACGAGUGGCGAACGGGUGAGUAAUGUAUCGGAACGUGCCCAGUCGUGGGGGAUAACGCAGCGAAAGCUGUGCUAAUACCGCAUACGAUCUAUGGAUGAAAGCGGGGGAUCGCAAGACCUCGCGCGAUUGGAGCGGCCGAUAUCAGAUUAGCUAGUUGGUGGGGUAAAGGCUCACCAAGGCGACGAUCUGUAGCUGGUCUGAGAGGACGACCAGCCACACUGGAACUGAGACACGGUCCAGACUCCUACGGGAGGCAGCAGUGGGGAAUAUUGGACAAUGGGCGAAAGCCUGAUCCAGCAAUGCCGCGUGAGUGAUGAAGGCCUUAGGGUUGUAAAGCUCUUUUACCCGAGAUGAUAAUGACAGUAUCGGGAGAAUAAGCUCCGGCUAACUCCGUG